AUUGAACGCUGGCGGCAUGCCUUACACAUGCAAGUCGAACGGCAGCAUGGAAGAGCUUGCUCUUCUGAUGGCGAGUGGCGAACGGGUGAGUAAAGCAUCGGAACGUACCGUGUAGUGGGGGAUAACGUAGCGAAAGUUACGCUAAUACCGCAUACGCACUGAGGUGGAAAGCAGGGGAUCGCAAGACCUUGCGCUAUACGAGCGGCCGAUGUCAGAUUAGCUAGUUGGUAGGGUAAAGGCCUACCAAGGCGACGAUCUGUAGCGGGUCUGAGAGGAGGAUCCGCCGCCAUGGGACUGAGACACGGCCCAGACUCCUACGGGAGGCAGCAGUGGGGAAUUUUGGACAAUGGGGGAAACCCUGAUCCAGCCAUGCCGCGUGAGUGAAGAAGGCCUUCGGGUUGUAAAGCUCUUUCGGCUGGGAAGAAAUCGCACAGGCUAAUACUCUGUGUGGAUGACGGUACCAGCAUAAGAAGCACCGGCUAACUACGUGCCAGCAGCCGCCGUAA
rnacentral:rRNA from 1 species